rnacentral:piRNA from 1 species
UCACCAACUGGAAGCUCGUACCACUGAUAGC